UUCAGACUGCUGAAUUAUUCAUGUGGGCAGCCAAGGCUGUGAUUGGACUGGUUGUGCUAUUUGCAUGCAUCAGACAUGCUGUUUGUCUGUUUGCUAACAUUCCUCAUUCAAAGACUUGUUAACUAGCAGACGGCUUAGCUGGAGCCUUCCAGACAGCCUCAUGGCCUCCUUUUGUUGCAGGCACGCCAGGCCUGGGCCCAGCCCAUGGCGGCCAGGCGAGGUAGCAGCGGCCGUGGGCUGGGGCUCUGUGCUGGGUCUUGGCUGGGCUACGAGAGGGACUGCCUGGAGAGUCACUGGGCCUGCCUGCCUGGCUGCUUUACCACAGCUGCCAGGGACACAGAGGAUGAUGGCUUUCUGUUCUCCUCAACAGAUACUGUAUUUGGAUGCCGCAGGAAAAAAAGAGAGGAAGAGAGAACCUGCUUAGAAUUUCACCUCCGGAUUCGUAAUGUUUCGGAAUCGCCUCUACUAUGGAAUAUCUGGAGGCCGAUGGCACAGGACUUUUAGCCAAGCAGAGAACCCCAUGGUCAGACAGAUGGCCCUAGCAGUAAGUAACACAUUACAGAGCUACCUGACAAGCUGCUGUGAGCAUGAUGGAGGGAGGAGG